rnacentral:rRNA from 1 species
GAUGAACGCUAGCGGCAGGCCUAAUACAUGCAAGCCGAACGGCAAGAACUUUAGCAAUAGAGUUCCUAGAGUGGCGUAAGGGUGCGUAACACGUAUGCAAUCUGCCCUCAACAGGGAGGAUAGCCUCCCCGGAAAGGGGAAUUAAGACUCCAUAAGAUCAUUUUAUGGCAUCAUGAGAUGAUUAAACUACCGAGGGGUUGAGGAUGAGCAUGCGCAUGAUUAGUUAGUUGGC